rnacentral:lncRNA from 1 species
GGGUGGGUGGGUUCUGUGGAGGUGGUAUAUAAUCUCCAGUUUUCUGAAAAUUUUCGGGGAGUGAGGAUAGGUAAGAUGGGGUAGGGUGGGAAUGAAUGUGUAGAUUAAAUUUAAUUUUAUAUUAUUAUUAUUAUUAUUUACCACCUGAUUUAUGAAAAAUUUAAGGGAGUUUGUUAGUUGUGAAAUGUGGUUUCUAUAUGUAGGAGAGAUAUGUUGUUCCCUAUAUCCAUCCCUCUACAACCAUUUGUUUUUGUGUUUUUGUGUGUGUGUAGUGCAAUAGAGAGAGAGAACGUGAGAUGCAGCCGGUUUUCAUUGCAAUUUUGAGAGUUUUGUCUGAGUUAUUGGUGUCUUCCUUCUUUACCUUUGUGAUAUUGCAUACCACCACCAUUAAAGCCUCCUUUGUGGAGUGAAACUUGGAACAACCAAAGUAAAGGUUUGGUUUGGGUCAAGCUUGGGUGAUUGUGGUAUUCAUUUGAUUGUUUUUUGAGCCCGAAAUAAAAUAUUUCUUGAAAAUUUCCGCGACAUCUUUAAAUAAAAAUAACUGGACAGUGGAGCUAAAAAGAAUAACUUACAACGAAAGAAACAUAAACCAAAAAUACAUUAAAAGCUCCUCGCCAUAUUUGAACUUACCGAAAUUGUUCAGUAUGGAAUUUAGAAUGGCAAGGAAUAUUUGCAUCAAAUGAAGAUUGACGAAUAAUCAAAGCAAUCUAAAGAACUGUACUUGGACUCGAAAGAAAGGAUGAACAAAAUGCAAGAGAGGCUGGUGACAAGCUGAACCCAAGUGGACUAACUACUCCAGGAUUGUCCGAUGAUUUCCGGGGUGUAGCUGAACGUUUGACAAGUGGUUGCUGCCUUGGAAGAGAGAGGCUCAGUGGCGGCGGCGCCACCUCUUGCAGCCGUGUAGGUUGGGACUCACAUGAACCUGCUGUGAGCAUUUGAACGAGCUCCUUAAAAUUGACUGGAUCUACAUUGUAAAUUUUUGGUUUCUGCGUUGGCUUACGAACAGAAUGGAGUGCGGAAUGAAAAGAUGAAAACUGUUUGGAUAUCUUUUCUCGUUGUUCAUAUGAAGAAAACUGUGUUGAAGAAGAUAAUGAAAUGUCGUCUCUAUUUGAAUCCAUGGUUUCUUUAAUAAAACCAAAGAACACACAAUAAUGGAAUUGUCACCACGUUUGGGUAUUAUUUAUAGUCACGUACAAGGAAUUAUA